rnacentral:snoRNA from 13 species
GGUCAGUGAUGAAUAGUAAAAGGUCUGACUGGCCAGAGACUGCGCUUUCAUCACCAUCCUGAUUCCCUGCAGCCUCUUUUUCCAUCAGACCCCAGUAGUGCUCUGAUUGGCGGAGGAACUGCUGAAAUUGUGCGAUGUCUUCUACUUUUGUGUUCGCCGGAGUUCCGGGCGACACAGCAGUUGGGUAGGCGUCCAACAGGAGCAGUCGUAAAGGAGUUUCGGUGGUGGAAGUUUGGAGGUCUUGGUUGUGAUCUGAAGUUUUCAAGCUGAGACC